UUAUAUAAUCCAAUUCAAUUAACUAUAUAUUUUCUCUAUACUUAAAGUACCGAAAGGAAAAAUAUCUCAACCCCUACAGUAAAUUAAAAAAUUGUACCUUUUGUAUCAUGGCUUAGCAAUUAAAUAUUCUUAUAAGAUCACUCCCGAAAAUAAUUGAGCUGAUUUUUGUUUGCUAUGCGCCCACUUAUUUAUGUUUCAAAAUAAAAAGAAAAACAAAAACCAGAGGCUACAUACCUACCGCAAUUAUUGAUAUCUGGUUUUUUAUUUAUUUAUCCACUAAAGAUAUUAAAUUUAACUUAAUAUUUUAUAUAAUAGAGGCUAAACUCUAUUAUUUACACCUAUACAAAUUUAUAAACCUUAUAACUUAGUAGGCCUCAUAAUAGCCUCCUUAUACAACAUAUAACAAUUAACUCUCUAUAUCAGUUAUUAUAUAUAAUCCUAUUAUGGUUUAAUCAAUAAAAAACAUUAAUACCUUAUCAUUAUUAAUUUAUAUUCUGCUAAGAUUAGUAUUUAAAUAUAUAAUUAAUCUAUACCACUUAUAUCUAUUAUAAUCAAUUAUAUAAAUUUCCUAAACUACUAGAAAGGAACUCGGCAAAUAUAAAUUCCGACUGUUUAUCAAAAACACUGCUUCUUGCUUCCCCAUAAGAAGUCGAUCCUGCCCAGUGAUUCUAUUCAACGGCCGCGGUACCCUGACCGUGCUAAGGUAGCGUGAUAAUUCGCCCUUUAAUUGUGGGCUUGUAUGAAUGGACGAACGAGAAUUUAUCUGUCUCUCUAGUAUUUAUAAAAAUUAAUCUCCAGGUGAAGAAGCCUGGCUGCUUCUAAAGGACAAAAAGACCCUAAAGAGCUCCGUUAAUAUUUAUCAACAAUAAUUAAUAUCUAUAUAUAACAGCUACUUCAAAUAUUAACUUAACUGGGGCGGUUAAGGAAUAAUUUUAAUCUUCCAUCUAUAAACUACAACGACCAACACGUCAACUAAUAAUUGAUCCUUAUAAGAACACAGAAAAAAGCUACCUUAGGGAUAACAGAUUAAUCCUCCUCAAGAGUACACAUUGACAGGAGGGAUUGACACCUCGAUGUUGGCUUAGGGUUACUUGAGGGUAGCAGAAGCCCUCAAAGUAGGUUUGUUCAACCUUUAAUUCCCUACAUGAGCUGAGUUCAGACCGGCGUAAGCUAGGUCAGUUUCUAUCCUUAGAAGUCCCCUAUAAUUCUAAAUCAAUAGUACGAAAGGACCUUGAAAUUAUAAAUAUUUUAAAACACUGCAACCCAAUAACACUUUAUUCAAAUACUAAUA
rnacentral:rRNA from 1 species